rnacentral:rRNA from 1 species
CCUACGGGAGGCAGCAGUGGGGAAUAUUGCACAAUGGGGGAAACCCUGAUGCAGCAACGCCGCGUGAGUGAUGACGGCCUUCGGGUUGUAAAGCUCUGUCAGCAGGGAAGAAAAUGACGGUACCUGACCAAGAAGCCCCGGCUAACUACGUGCCAGCAGUCGCGGUAAUACGUAGGGGGCAAGCGUUAUCCGGAUUUACUGGGUGUAAAGGGAGCGUAGACGGCAGGGCAAGUCUGGAGUGAAAGGCGGGGGCUCAACCCCCGGACUGCUCUGGAAACUGCCAGGCUGGAGUGCAGGAGAGGUAAGUGGAAUUCCUAGUGUAGCGGUGAAAUGCGUAGAUAUUAGGAGGAACACCAGUGGCGAAGGCGGCUUACUGGACUGUAACUGACGUUGAGGCUCGAAAGCGUGGGGAGCAAACAGGAUUAGAUACCCCUGUAGUC